CAAGUCUUGACAUCCCUCUGAAACCUCUAGAGAUAGAGGCGGCCUUCGGGACAGAGGUGACAGGUGGUGCAUGGUUGUCGUCAGCUCGUGUCGUGAGAUGUUGGGUUAAGUCCCGCAACGAGCGCAACCCUUGAUUUUAGUUGCCGGCACUUUGGGUGGGCACUCUAGAAUGACUGCCGGUGACAAACCGGAGGAAGGCGGGGAUGACGUCAAAUCAUCAUGCCCCUUAUGACUUGGGCUACACACGUACUACAAUGGCUGGUACAACGGGAAGCGAAGCCGCGAGGUGGAGCCAAUCCUAUAAAAGCCAGUCUCAGUUCGGAUUGCAGGCUGCAACUCGCCUGCAUGAAGUCGGAAUUGCUAGUAAUCGCGGAUCAGCAUGCCGCGGUGAAUACGUUCCC
rnacentral:rRNA from 1 species